rnacentral:rRNA from 1 species
CGGAGGGUGCAAGCGUUGUCCGGAUUUAUUGGGUUUAAAGGGUGCGUAGGCGGCCCGUUAAGUCAGUGGUGAAAGCCUCCAGCUCAACUGGAGAACUGCCAUUGAUACUGACGGGCUUGAGUACAGACGAGGUUGGCGGAAUUGAUUGUGUAGCGGUGAAAUGCAUAGAUACAAUCAAGAACUCCGAUUGCGUAGGCAGCUAACUAGGCUGUAACUGACGCUGAGGCACGAAAGCGUGGGGAGCGAACAGGAUUAGAUACCCUGGUAGUCCACGCCGUAAACGAUGAUUACUCGAUGUUGGCGAUAAACUGUCAGCGUCUUAGCGAAAGCGUUAAGUAAUCCACCUGGGGAGUACGCCCGCAAGGGUG